rnacentral:rRNA from 1 species
UAGUAAUCGCGAAUCAGAAUGUCGCGGUGAAUACGUUCCCGGGCCUUGUACACACCGCCCGUCACACCAUGAGAGUCGAUAACACCCGAAGCCUGUGAGCUAACCGUAAGGAGGCAGCAGUCGAAGGUGGGGUUGAUGAUUGGGGUGAAGUCGUAACAAGGUACC